UCAAACUUUCACACAUUUCUCACCAACUAUUUUCACAAAGUCAUAUUAGAACACCUAUAAAACUAUUCAUGCAAGACUUGUAAAUAUUUGACAAAGACAUAUUUACUAGCAAGAGUUGAAAAGUUAGAAAGCAUGGGCAAAAGGAGAUAAAUUUACAUUAUUUUAAUAUCUUACAACUAGUAUAAAUAGGGGUCUUUCUCACCCCAUUUUCAUUCAUUCACAAAUCAUCUUUCUUACCUCUUCAUUUCCUUCUUUCUCUAGUUUCUUCAUAUAGAAAUAUUAGUUUUAGUUGUCGAAGUUUACACGGUGUCGGUUUGUAGUUUUUAGAGUUAUUUUGGGGUCAAAGUUCUUCUAAAGUUUUAAAGGAGUUUGAUACGUCAAAGUUCUGCUCAAAUCAUUUUCAUAAGUAACCGGUUCUGGGCAAACAUCAGAGAAAACGCUCGUGGACUUUCAACAACGAUCAACAACAAAAGGCGACGAGCUAGACCCUUUAGGAGGGAAGGCUAUGGAGUGACAGAUUACGAUAAUGUCAAGGCUGAAGGUUGCUAGCGUUUUGUCAAACGCUUAUCACAUCGUUACUAGUACGUAAUAUUAUAUACAGUCAGUAUAAGUGUCAGUCAUGUUGGACUUAGGGGGUCCUUCUGUUAAGCUUUCUUUUGAUUUUCUUCAUGUACUUUUAUUUUAAGUUUUAUCUACGUGGCAAGGCCACUAGUCUUAACGGUAUCAAACUUUAUGUAAAACAUAUUUGAAGCAUAUAUAUGUGAAGUAGUAUAUUUUAAUUAAUUCAGUCUUGUUAUUUAAAAAUUUUAAAUUUUCUGUAUUUUAUUUUAGAAUUUCACUAAUGGG